GCCUUUGUAGCUCAGUGGCUAGAGCACUGGUCUAGUAAACCAGGGGUCGAGAGCUCAAUUAUCUCCAGAGGCU
rnacentral:tRNA from 1 species